CUGCUACAAAAAGUUCUUCAGAAAUUUUCUUUAAUUACAUCUUCAUCAGUAAGUAGUAGCUUUUCAAUUUUCUGACAAACCAUUUUUUUAAUUCUUAAGGAAUUUUCACAUUAAGGCAGGCUGGUUGCAUACAAGGGCACCAAACGUAGCAUAUCUGAUGCCAAUUGGAAACAAAUAACUUUUUAACUAAGUAGUCAUAUGUCAAAACUGUCCCUUUUGAAGUAUUUGAAGAAAAGUGCCUAAACUUGGAUACAUUAAAUGCUUCCAGUAUAUGUCGAGUAACAAGCGGUGUAUAACGGCUCAAUUUACUGCUUUGCCCUACUGCCAUUAAAUAGGAAUUACACUAAAUUAAUUAAUUAGACAAUAUCAGUAUUGGAAAGAAGGUGUCGCAGGUUUAGGACUUCAAAUAAAACUGAUUUUAUUUCAGCAGCAAUGCCGACGUUUUGGCCUUUAUUUAGACCAUCUUCGGGGCUGGAAAUGACACUUUAUAAUUUACAAAUAAAUAAAUGAUUAAAUAAAUGAAUUAAAACAUUAAAUAAAAAACACUAUAUUACA